rnacentral:rRNA from 1 species
AACGCGAAGAACCUUACCUACCCUUGACAUCCUGCGAAUCUGACUGAGAGGUUAGAGUGCCGAAAGGAACGCAGAGACAGGUGCUGCAUGGCUGUCGUCAGCUCGUGUUGUGAGAUGUUGGGUUAAGUCCCGUAACGAGCGCAACCCUUGUCCUUAGUUGCCAGCAUUUAGUUGGGGACUCUAAGGAGACUGCCGGUGAGGAACCGGAGGAAGGCGGGGACGACGUCAAGUCAUCAUGGCCUUUAUGGGUAGGGCUACACACGUGCUACAAUGGGGCGUACAGAGGGUAGCCAACCUGCGAAGGGGAGCCAAUCUCUUAAAGCGCCUCGUAGUCCGGAUUGGAGUCUGCAACUCGACUCCAUGAAGUUGGAAUCGCUAGUAAUCGCGAAUCAGCAACGUCGCGGUGAAUACGUUCCCGGGCCUUGUACACACCGACGCAC